UAGCUCAGACGGUAAAGCAUCUGCCUACAACGCGGGAGACCCAGGUUCGAUCCCUGG
rnacentral:tRNA from 1 species